GUGUAGCCUUCAUUGAUUCAAGAUCUACCAUACCAUUCUCUCACUAGAAGAGAAAACCUAUAAUGGCAGCAAGCCAUAAAAGAGACCCAGUUUGGGAAUAUUUUAAUGAAGUUCCUCUACCUGUGAGUAAGACAGGCAUGCAUGUAAAACGCAAACAUUGCAACAAAGAAAUGCAGGGCCUGGUUGCCAGAAACAAACAACAUCAUGAGAAGUGUUCCUUCUCAGGAGGAAGCUGCACUGAAGAUGAUGAAAGGAACAUCUCUGAACAUGCAGAAUCUUCAGGAGAAUCCAUCCUCAACAUACAGGAUUCUGAAGACUAUCGACCUUCAAGAUCACCAUAAUUUUCAAUCGUUUCAGAGUUAUCUGCCAAUAACAGUGUUUCAGUCACAUUAUGCAUAUCACAUAGCCACAGUAUAUCACCUGUAGCAAAAAGAACAAAAAAAAUCCCCAUCAUCCACAAACAACCAUAGAUAAAUUUGUGAUAAGAACCAGCAGAUUACAAAAAGAAGUAAUUGAUGAAAAAAUUGCCCAGGUUGUUUAUGAAACAAACUCUCCUUUCUGUAUGAUUGAGAAUCCACACUUCAUUAAAUGGUUCAGUCAUUAAGACCAGGAUACUGUCCACCCAACAGAGCAGAUGUCGCAAGCAAACUGCUGGAUGAAGUGCAUGAAAGAGAAAUUGAGCAGUGUGCAAAAGGUAAAAUUGUUAACGUGAGUUGACGGGUGGAGCAAUGUCCAUAAUGAUCCUGUUGUACAUGCUUGUGUGACAACAGAAGAAGGGAAUGUCUUCCUUAUAGGAACAAUUGCUAUGUCAGGAAAUGCACACACAGCAGAAUACUUACAAGCAGCAGCAGUAAAAGCUAUAACAAACUGUGACAAAAAUUUCAAAUGUCCAGUAUGCAGCUUGGUCACAGACAAUGCUGCAAAUGUAUCAAAGAUGAGAAGAAAUUAUUUAGAAGAGAGUGAAGAGAGUCCCAAGCUAAUAACAUACGGUUGCGGUGCUCAUUUGAUGCACCUCCUAGCCAAAGACGUCAGUUUUCCAGAAAAAAAAGGCUAAUGUUGUUGAAAUUGCAAAAUACUUCCGUAACAACCACUUUGCAGCAGCUGCUCUGAAAAAAGUGAGAGGAACCAAGCUAACUUUCCCACAAGACAUGCAAUGGAACUCAGUAGUGGACUGUUUUGAGAACUAUAUCAAGAACUGACCUAAUCUGGUGACAGCUUGUGAAGAAAAUCAUGAAAAAAUAGAUGGCACUGUCACAGCCAAAGUUCUCAACAUUGGGCUUAAGAGAAAUCUUGAACACAUGCUCAGUACCCUGAAGCUUAUUUCUGUAGCCUUGAACAAAAUGCAGGGAAAUAGCAGUUUUAUUGCUAACGCUGCUGAAAUCUGGAAGGAACUGAGUAAGAUCUUAAAAAGAAAAAUAUGCAAUAACAGAGUUAAAUUACAAGCAUUAAAAAAAUGAAUGGGACAAGCACUAUCUCCAGCUCAUCUUCUUGCAAAUAUUCUCAAUACUCGGUACCAGGGUCACACCUUAACUGCUGAAGAAGAGGAGUUGGCUAUGACAUGGACAUCCAGCAAUCAUCCCUCCAUAAUGUAAACUAGAAUCAACUUCAGAGCUAAGGGUGAACCAUUCAAGAAAUAUAUGUUUGCUGAUGAUGUUUUAAAGGAAGUCACACCAGUGAACUGGUGGAAGUCACUUAAGCACCUGGAUUCAGAAACUGUUGAAGUGAAAAUCUCACUUUUAACAGCAGUUGCUUCUUCUGUCGGUGUAGAAAGAAUAUUUUCUUCCUGUGGACUAAUUCAUUGCAAAUUGAGAAAUCGUUUGGGACCCGAAAACACAGGAAAGCUUGUUUUUCUUUUCCAGAUUAUGAACAAACAGGAAAAUGAAGGUGAAGACGACUGAAUUAGUUGCAGAAGCCAAUAUUUUAAGUUUCUCAUGUUGACCUGGCUGACACAGUUGAUUUAAUUGUUUGGGGUUUUUUUUUUUAAUUUCAUUUAACUAUUUUAGUUAAAAACAAUUUUAACAAAAACAAACCUGAUUUUAAAAAAUCUGGAUGUUUAACUAAAUUCAAAAAUUCUUAUGCUUGUUUUGUUAAAAUAUUAUAAGUUUGCUGUUGAAGAAAAAAAAUCCAGAAUACAUAUCAUUGUUGUUUUAGUUAAAUACAACAACUUAAAUAUCUGUCUGGUGUUCUCCUAAUAGAGCAUGGCAAGAAAAUCCUCCAAUAUUAACGAUUAACCUGUUGAAUUGGAAAUAGCUCACCUCCCAGUGACUUCAUAAAUAUAUGCUUCAAUUACCUUUGGUAAAUGAAAUAACCAAACAAUCAUUUAUUUUCUGAUAUAGCUGUUAAAUUAAUCUGAAAACUUUUCAAAAUAAAUCACUUUAAAAAUGUAUAGUGUGCACCUUUUAAAUAUAAAACCUACAUCUAUCGCUGA